UGAUUUUAAAUUUGUUGACCAAACUUAAAACAGGUGUGGUUUCAUUGACAAAAUAUAAAACAGUUGUGGCUAAUGAAAAGUUAAUGAAUGCCCCAGUGGAUAUAAUAGAAGAAGCAAACAAAGAAAAUCAGAGCUAUGAUGUUACAGAUUAUGUCGAGGAUAUGAGCAGUUCCUCCGAAAGUGAUGAAGAUGUUGUUGAUGUUGAAGAUAUUAACAAUUCCUCAGCAUAUAAUCAUCACAGUUCAAAAGCAAGCAAGCAAGGAACGUUUGUAAUGUCAAAGUUUUUUUUGCGUCCUCUUCAUCGAAGAAAUAAGAUUGCAGGUUACAAGAGUUUACAAAAACUUGUUCAAGCUGUUAUCAACCAUGUUCCUCCAUACUGAACAAAAGACGUUAUUGUCGACAUUGUGGUAAAAGUUUCUGUGCUAAAUGCUGCCAUAAAAGCGUACCGAGAUCUUUUCUUGGAGCAACAGCUCCAGCCGCUCAUCAAGAAAAGGUUUUGGUUUGCAUGAGCUGCCACGCUUUUGUUACUAAUCGCUUCAACUCUACGCCUUCUGAAAUAGUUC
rnacentral:misc_RNA from 1 species